AUUGAACGCUGGCGGCAGGCCUAACACAUGCAAGUCGAACGGUAACAGGAAGAAGCUUGCUUCUUUGCUGACGAGUGGCGGACGGGUGAGUAAUGUCUGGGAAACUGCCUGAUGGAGGGGGAUAACUACUGGAAACGGUAGCUAAUACCGCAUAACGUCGCAAGACCGAAAAGGGGGACCUUCGGGCCUCUUGCCAUCGGAUGUGCCCAGAUGGGAUUAGCUAGUAGGUGGGGUAACGGCUCACCUAGGCGACGAUCCCUAGCUGGUCUGAGAGGAUGACCAGCCACACUGGAACUGAGACACGGUCCAGACUCCUACGGGAGGCAGCAGUGGGGAAUAUUGCACAAUGGGCGCAAGCCUGAUGCAGCCAUGCCGCGUGUAUGAAGAAGGCCUGCGGGUUGUAAAGUACUUUCAGCGGGGAGGAAGGGAGUAAAGUUAAUACCUUUGCUCAUUGACGUUACCCGCAGAAGAAGCACCGGCUAACUCCGG
rnacentral:rRNA from 1 species